rnacentral:tRNA from 5 species
GGCCAGGUAGCUCAGUUGGUACGAGCGUCCGCCUGAAAAGCGGAAGGUCGCCGGUUCGAUCCCGGCCCUGGCCACCC